rfam:Cavia porcellus supercont2_66 genomic scaffold, whole genome shotgun sequence.
GUCUACGGCCAUACCACCCUGAACGCGCCUGAUCUCGUCUGAUCUCGGAAGCUAAGCAGGGUCGGGCCUGGUUAGUAAUAAAAAUACAACAGAACAAGAAAAAGAAAAAAAAAAAAAAAAGAUGAGAGACUAUGACU